UCACCACACAGCAGAGCGUGUGUCGCCAAGUGUGUGCAUGUGUGUAUUUGCACCACUGAAUUCUGAACGUCCACCGCACCGCACCACACAGCGUGUAUCGCCAAGUGCGUGGCUGUGUGUUGUAUCACCGUGGUGUGGCCAAAUGUGUGCAUGUGUGUACUUGCUCCACUGAAAGCCGGUAUCGCAGCAGAUUUCGGGUGUCGCCUUGUGCGUGUGUGUGUUAUUGUCACAGCACACUCCCAAGUAGCAACCGAAGCUUUUUUCUCCCAGUUUCAACCCCCUCAUGUCCACAAACUGCCUUCGCUUACUAUUCCUAUCCCGUUUCUACAUUCCACAACGUUUGUUGCGUUCUCGCUCAUCAGGGUGUUAGUCAAUUCUCUCUUGCCACACGAAGAGAAUUCUCCUGCACACUUCGUGUGUUGGAUUCUACCCAUCCCUGUUGAACACACGUCAUUUUCUUCCAUCGCACUCAUCAGGGUGUUUGCUCUUUUCCAUCCAAGCCAAAGAGCGACUUCAGUGUGCUCUGAACCGUGGACGUGAGAGUGUGUGUUUGUGUGCUGCGUGAACUAUUUUUCCUGCGUGAAACACUUUCCAUACUGCGCCAUCCGCGGUGUUCUUUCUGCUUCAUCGGAGGACGAAUUUUUAUCAUCUAAUUGUUUGGUUUCAGAUGUGUGCUGCUACCGCUAGCUGUUCCUCAAACUACUUAAAAAGUGUGACACUGUGUGCACAGGCGUUCAAGUUUCAAUUGAUCCUCAAGCACAAAGCCUUCAUACAACACCGCGGUUGAGGCGCGCCAAAUCUGAUGACAUCUUUCCUGAACCAAGCAGGCUGAACACGCGCACCACCACGGGCUUCAGCGCGGUGUGAAGAGGGAAGAAGAAAAGGCAGAAUUGGAAACAGCCGCACCAGGCUUCCAACUACCGUGUGUGUGUGUGUAUGUAAGUAUGUGAGAACACAUGUGUGAAUCCUCUUGUGGGAACUGCAAAAAGAAGAGAAUAAAGAGUGUGAAGCAGCUAGACUGCCGCAACCAAAUCAAGAGAGUGAAUUCUCAUUUCAAUCCGAAAAACUGGGAGAGAGUGAUGACAUGCGAGAGAGAAUAAAACUAGAAACACAACCCUCUCAACAAUCUCAGAGAGAAUUUGUAUGAAAUUUCUUGGGCUUGUUCUCGGCUUGUUCUCGGCUUAUUGGUAUUAACGUCACUCAGAGAACAAGCCCAAUAUGAACAGGCGCUCAGUGACGUCACGGUGUAGCCGUAUUGAUGCGAGUCCACACAAUGGGGGUCGACCCAUUCCAACUGCUGUCAAAAUGAAACAACAAAGGUAUUUGGUUUGCAUGCGUUUUAUUGAACAAUAACAAGUCGACAAGUGGCGUCGUUUUGAGUAACUAAAAAUCAGUUCCGGAUUUACGUUUUUUCCUAUUCCAGCUCGUAUUAGUUAGUGAAAUAGUUGUUCGGCUUCCGGUAAAUCUGUAAGUGAAGGAAUCAAAGCGUUAAUACAUCGAAAUCAUAA